UGGGGAAUAUUGCACAAUGGGCGCAAGCCUGAUGCAGCCAUGCCGCGUGUAUGAAGAAGGCCUUCGGGUUGUAAAGUACUUUCAGCGAGGAGGAAGGCGUUGUGGUUAAUAACCGCAGCGAUUGACGUUACUCGCAGAAGAAGCACCGGCUAACUCCGUGCCAGCAGCCGCGGUAAUACGGAGGGUGCAAGCGUUAAUCGGAAUUACUGGGUGUAAAGCGCACGCAGGCGGUCUGUCAAGUCGGAUGUGAAAUCCCCGGGCUCAACCUGGGAACUGCAUCCGAAACUGGCAGGCUAGAGUCUUGUAGAGGGGGGUAGAAUUCCAGGUGUAGCGGUGAAAUGCGUAGAGAUCUGGAGGAAUACCGGUGGCGAAGGCGGCCCCCUGGACAAAGACUGACGCUCAGGUGCGAAAGCGUGGGCAGCAAACA
rnacentral:rRNA from 1 species